AGCCAUGAGAGGUUAUUUGCCCCAAAUUCAGGGAAACAGACCAGAGCUGUAGCCUAGGACUUGGCUGUGCUGUGCUGGUUCCCACUGCUGGCUUCCUGCCACUGUUGACCAGCACUGUUGGGCCAGGAUCGGAAGUGGCAGAAUCAGGGUGAGAGUCUGUGGCUCUCCAGGCUUCCCCUCAGGUUCCUUCCUUACACUAUUGCUUGUCUUCCCGUCUCCCCCCACCAUGCACCCAGAGCUCUUCCACACCUGCCCUGCCCAGCCUGUCCUCCUUAUUGACCUCUCCAGGGGCUAGUGUACAGAGAUCCAUCCUGCAGCGCUGCUGUGGAGAAUCCACAAACCUGGGAUGGAUAGAAGUUCCCAUUCACACAGUUAUUCGGAUCCCCAGAGGCUUGCGGAGUGCCUGCCCAAGAGUCCCCACUGUGCUGGCGAUGAAUGGCACGGUGUGGCUGUGGUGUAAAGAAGUUUCUGGUGUUGUGAUUGCUCCAUUAACUCCUGGGAGUUGAUAUAGUAUCACCAUGGGUUGACGUUAUAUUCCUCCCUAACCCCAAUGAAUUUGCUAUGCUGUUUCAUAUCUAAUGGAACUCUAUGAGGCUUGUAAACCUCGCUGAGGGGGUAAGUAGGGGUCGGUAAGAGGAAGAGGAGUUGCAGGCAUUCAACUUUGUGCUACUUGGCUUCGAGAAGUAGC
rnacentral:lncRNA from 1 species